UACGGAGGGUGCGAGCGUUGUCCGGAAUCAUUGGGCGUAAAGGGCGCGUAGGUGGCCCGGUCAGUUCGUGGUGAAAGCCCGGGGCUCAACCCCGGGUCGGCCGUGCGGACUGGCGUGCUCGAGCACUGUAGGGGCGGGUGGAAUUCCGGGUGUAGCGGUGGAAUGCGUAGAGAUCCGGAAGAACACCGGUGGCGAAGGCGGCCCGCUGGGCAGGAAGGCUCGCAAGAGCCGGCUGACGCUGAGGCGCGACAGCGUGGGGAGCAAACAGG
rnacentral:rRNA from 1 species